GGCUGUCGUCAGCUCGUGUCGUGAGAUGUUGGGUUAAGUCCCGCAACGAGCGCAACCCCUGCCGUUAGUUGCCAGCGGGUGAGGCCGGGCACUCUAACGGGACUGCCUGCGAAAGCAGGAGGAAGGCGGGGACGACGUCUGGUCAUCAUGGCCCUUACGGCCUGGGCGACACACGUGCUACAAUGCCCACUACAAAGCGAUGCCACCUGGCAACAGGGAGCCAAUCGCGGAAAGGUGGGCGUAGUUCGGAUUGGGGUCUGCAACCCGACCCCAUGAAGCCGGAAUCGCUAGUAAUUGCGA
rnacentral:rRNA from 1 species